rnacentral:pre_miRNA from 1 species
GUUGGGGAGAAUGUUGUCUGGUUCGAAAUCUUUCUAUAGAAAAAUCAGUGGUGGAUUCAGUUAUGAGUUUCAAGAUCGUUAAAUCUUAUAUAUGUACAAAAAUAAGUACAAUAUAUAUUUUUAGACCCUAAAAUGUCGAAUAUAUAUUCUGAAUUCGUCAAUUUAUUGAGUGAUUUCGGACCAGGCUUCAUUCCCCUCAAC